CCAGAAAGCCACGGCUAAUUACGUGCCAGCAGGCGGCAGUAAUACGUAGGUGGCAAGCGUUGUCCGGAUUUAUUGGGCAGUAAAGCGAGCGCAGGCGGUUUUUUAAGUCUGAUGUGAAAGCGUUCGGCUCAACCGAAGAAGUGCAUCGGAAACUGGGAAACUUGAGUGCAGAAGAGGACAGUGGAACUCCAUGUGUAGCGGUGAAAUGCGUAGAUAUAUGGAAGAACACCAGUGGCGAAGGCGGCUGUCUGGUCUGUAACUGACGCUGAGGCUCGAAAGUAUGGGUAGCAAACAGGAUUAGAUACCCUGGUAGUCCAUACCGUAAACGAUGAAUGCUAAGUGUUGGAGGGUUUCCGCCCUUCAGUGCUGCAGCUAACGCAUUAAGCAUUCCGCCUGGGGAGUACGGCCGCAAGGCUGAAACUCAAAGGAAUUGACGGGGGCCCGCACAAGCGGUGGAGCAUGUGGUUUAAUUCGAAGCUACGCGAAGAACCUUACCAGGUCUUGACAUACUAUGCAAAUCUAAGAGAUUAGACGUUCCCUUCGGGGACAUGGAUACAGGUGGUGCAUGGUUGUCGUCAGCUCGUGUCGUGAGAUGUUGGGUUAAGUCCCGCAACGAGCGCAACCCUUAUUAUCAGUUGCCAGCAUUAAGUUGGGCACUCUGGUGAGACUGCCGGUGACAAACCGGAGGAAGGUGGGGAUGACGUCAAAUCAUCAUGCCCCUUAUGACCUGGGCUACACACGUGCUACAAUGGAUGGUACAACGAGUUGCGAACUCGCGAGAGUAAGCUAAUCUCUUAAAGCCAUUCUCAGUUCGGAUUGUAGGCUGCAACUCGCCUACAUGAAGUCGGAAUCGCUAGUAAUCGCGGAUCAGCAUGCCGCGGUGAAUACGUUCCCGGGCCUUGUACACACCGCCCGUCACACCAUGAGAGUUUGUAACACCCAAAGUCGGUGGGCUAACCUUUUAGGAACCAGCCGCCUAAAGGUUGACCAGGAUUAGUUU
rnacentral:rRNA from 2 species